UCCUCUCCCCGCCGCCGCCCACGACGGCAUCUCCUCGCCUCCCUCAACUUCGGGCGUUCUUCUUCCAUCUAGCCUAAGUCAAGCCUCGCGAGGGAUUCCGACGCGGGUGGGGAUCAAUCCGAGGCGAUGCUUGCUAGUGAUCCGGCGCAGGAGGGGAUCAACCCGAGGCGACGCGUGCGAGGAUGCGAUGUUCAACAGGAUCCCACCGGUAGCAGAUGUGCGACGUCUCCUCUUCCCCGUCACCGUUGCUCCUAGCUGCAGCCACUCGUGCACGUCACCGCCAGGUUUAGUUCAAUCGCUUCUGUAUAUGAGACACUGUCUGAUGCUUAGAUUCAGUGCGCCACUAGCCUCAAGGGAGAUUUGGAGGAUGCCGAGGCUUGGAACACCGAAGACAUGUGGUUGUGUCAGCUUGAUGCCACUCCGCCACUGCAGGUUAUUCGCAUAGAUUCAGCCGCUCUCCUAUCAUUUUGUUCAUCAAAAAUGAUUGUUGGAUAUCACUUGCAGUUCUAUAUAAUAUGACAAUUCUGGUAUUCAUUGCUCCCAGUUGCUUGAGGCAAAUAAUUAGAUUAGUACAUUUGGUGGAGUUGUACGAUGUGAAAGAACAAUGUUUGUUUCUAUCAGUUAGAAACUGAAGAAUACAUCUAAACUGACUGGUGUCGAGAAUACAAAUUAGUGAUAGAGACGUACGGAUUGAUGAUUCCAUUAGAAUCCAAGAACAUUUCAGUGGCCCCUUAUUUUUUACUAUGUAUAUGUAGUGAUGGUUAUAUACCUCCUUGAUUUCCGGCAAUUGUCCGCUGCUCAAGGUGACCCUCUACCUCUCAGGCGGAUUACCAUGGUUGGCUGGAUUGACCUGCCCCCGAUUCACCUGCAUCACGCAUCUCGGCUUGAUCGACUGGAUACCAUCAAGCGCUGGAUUCCUUCGGGCGCCUUGCCGCAGCUGAUUCUCCUCGAGCGCGUUGUCUCCCUCCCGCACUGGAUCCCCUCGGAUAUUUGAAUAUCAUUCCGGUCUUAAAUUAUGUUCCUGGAGAGAAACACAGGAAACUGAGGUACUGCUACGCUGCCUGAUCUUCUUUGUCCCCAACAGAUCUCUUCUCACAUGAUGUUGCGACGGUUGAUGUUCAGAAUUGAGAGGACUUGAAUGUGGUAAUGACCUCUGCUACAUCGGCUAACACAGCAGCAAGGAUUCGCUUACUCAGUAUUAUCCAUUGCUCCAGCCGUAUAUAGCCUUGCAGGUUAGCUUAUAUCAAUGAAUAUUAUUGAAAAAAAAUUCAUACAUUACAACAAAGUGAUUUAUUUCUGGUUCCAUAACAUCUAUUUGUGGUCUGCACUCUGGAAUAUGCUUGCAACAA